rnacentral:rRNA from 1 species
UACGUAGGGUGCGAGCGUUAAUCGGAAUACUGGGCGUAAAGCGUGCGCAGGCGGUGAUGUAAGACAGUUGUGAAAUCCCCGGGCUCAACCUGGGAAUUGCAUCUGUGACUGCAUCGCUAGAGUACGGUAGAGGGGGAUGGAAUUCCGCGUGUAGCAGUGAAAUGCGUAGAUAUGCGGAGGAACACCGAUGGCGAAGGCAAUCCCCUGGACCUGUACUGACGCUCAUGCACGAAAGCGUGGGGAGCAACGA